rnacentral:tRNA from 1 species
GCCGGAGUGGCGGAAUUGGCAGACGCGCAUGGUUCAGGUCCAUGUACCCGCAAGGGUGUGGGGGUUCGAGUCCCUUCUUCGGCACCA